GCCUUAAUAGCUCAGUGGUAGAGCGUUCCACUCGUACGACAAGAAAUGGAAAGGUCGGGUGUUCAAUCCACCUUUGAGGCA
rfam:Melampsora larici-populina 98AG31 unplaced genomic scaffold MELLAscaffold_23, whole genome shotgun sequence.